CGCGCGGAGAACGGGAGAAGGAAGCCUUUCCGUCGAGCCGUUGAAGUCGAUCGCUUCUCCAUCCAGCGCGACGCAGCAGUUUUCUCCAAAGGGUCGUCCAGUCGGCAGCGGGCAGCCCAUUUAAGACAUUCUCUCGGUCUCGAUCUCCCAUCUUCAAUUCUUCAACGCAGCCGAAGCCCGAAGUUUUUCAACGCAGCAAUUUCAUUGUUGUGUAUCAUUUCACUCGCAUUCUUCAACGCAGCUGAACUGUUCUUAUCUCUUCAGUUCUUCAACGCAGCUGCAGUGUUGAAGAGAAAAAAAUUUCAGCCUACGUCUUCUUCGCUUCCGCGGCCGUGCCACCUAACAUUUCCACUCAUGUAAUGCUCCAAUCAUGUAAUGCUCGAUAUGCCUUGUCCACUAUGAAGAUGAGGAAGGGUAGGAUAAGGCAUACUAAGGCUUUUACGGGAUUGCGGUCAUUUAUUUCAUGCCAUGUGUGUGGAUCCAUGGUUGGGGUAACCUCCCAACUUGGCUUAACCUCACCUACGCCAAGUCAAACAUUAGGAUUUGUGGGCGGCCACCGCCGACUGCUACUCGAGAUGCCUUGUCGACUAUGAUUAGGAGGAAGGGGAGGAUAAGCCAUUGAAACUUUUACCCGAUUGUGAGCAUUUAAG